rnacentral:rRNA from 1 species
AUUGAACGCUGGCGGCAUGCCUUACACAUGCAAGUCGAACGGCAGCACGGGAGCAAUCCUGGUGGCGAGUGGCGAACGGGUGAGUAAUAUAUCGGAACGUGCCCAGUAGUGGGGGAUAACUGCUCGAAAGAGCAGCUAAUACCGCAUACGACCUGAGGGUGAAAGGGGGGGAUCGCAAGACCUCUCGCUAUUGGAGCGGCCGAUAUCAGAUUAGCUAGUUGGUGGGGUAAAGGCCUACCAAGGCAACGAUCUGUAGUUGGUCUGAGAGGACGACCAGCCACACUGGGACUGAGACACGGCCCAGACUCCUACGGGAGGCAGCAGUGGGGAAUUUUGGACAAUGGGCGCAAGCCUGAUCCAGCAAUGCCGCGUGCAGGAAGAAGGCCUUCGGGUUGUAAACUGCUUUGUCUAGGGAAGAAAGUCCUCUAGGUUAAUACCCUUCGGGGGGAUGACGGUACCUGAAGAAUAAGCACCGGC